UUAUGCAGUUGGGUUAGUCCUAAUAUACUGAGUAAACCAGUCAUUCAUCAUUUGGAAAAAGGCUUGUUUAGUCUCUCCCUCCUGGUUACUUGAAAUCGGUCGAGAAUCAACUGGCGCUGUCCCUUGCGCGGGAGCAGGCGCUACACUCUCGACAUCAUCAGCUAUAUCUUUGUCGGGAUCCAUUUAAUAUAUGAAAAAAACAUUUUCAAAUGUCAAAAGUCAUCACACUAUCACAGUAUAUAAUAUGACAUGUAUAGCUAGACUCACACACGCUACGUUAAUCCUAG
rnacentral:lncRNA from 1 species